CCAAUUGAUCUUGAUCUUCUGUUAGCCACUCUCCAAAGCUUCUCAUCAGCUGUAUACGGAAAAUGGCCGGCGGAGGAGACCUUUCUCAUGGUGGAGACUUCAGAGCUAAGGUCUGGAGUAUGAGUGGUGGGCCCUACUGUAGGCCCAAGCAUUGGCAGCGGAAUACCGCUAUUGCUCUUGCCGGAAUCGUACUCAUCUGCAUUCCUGUGGCUUUGAAAUCCGCCGAGCUUGAGGUCAGUUUAGCCAACUCUAUACCACCCCCUCCCCCCAACAAAUCUGAAAUGUAUUGUUAGCUGGUUGGAAAUUGCCGGGACGAUUGAUUUGUGUUACUUUUCAUAAAUUUGAUAAGCUUCUCAUCUUGAGUUUUAGCUUUAGUCUUUUUAGGGCAGAAGGCAAGUAUUAUAUUUUGUGCUUUGGCACAACUAUGAAUAUGAUUUAGUUAUAUGGAAACGUGGGAUGAUUUAGUUAUUUGAAAUGUGGAUCAAUAUUGGCUGGUGCUGGCGGGAAUUAGAAAUGCAGGGUCAAAACCCGAUCAAAAGUUGAUUGCUCAAUCUCAGGGCCUUGAUGUUAAAUUAACAGGGUUCUUGGAUUGAUUGGUCAAACUAUGGAUAAUCCUGCCUCGGGAAUUACCUUUAUUUUACCUUUUAGUUCAUUCUAAUACCAACCUUUUAGCACCUAAGUGGUGUUGUCAACAGUGUUAUCAAAGGCGAAAAGCACAAAAAAGCUCUGAGGUCCGUUGCGGCUUUAAGCCCAAAGCGCUUAUAAAGUGUGGGCUUUAAUAAAAAAAGGCGCAACGGGAGAAAAAGAAAAGUAUGUAUCUAUAGUCUAAGACUAAUAAUUAUAAGCAUGAAUAACAAAUAUAUGAACAAAGACAUUGGAAAAAUUAAAGAUAAAGUGAAAUUUUAAUUGUUUAAUGUUGCCUUUUCAUGAUUACACUCAUUGGCAAGUAAAAGUAUACCUAAGAGCCUUGAUGCAAUACCAAAGUGCCCACAAAGCAAGACGAAGUGCUCAACAUGUUUUGAGCCUCGCUUUAGGGCUUAAACACGCUUUAAGGGCACCUUUGACAACACUGGCUAUCAAAGGCUUAUAUAAGACGCGUUUAAGCUCUAUUUCUCAUAAAAGCUCAAAGAAUGGUGCCUUGCCUUGCUUAAUCAGUGUGGGAAAGGAACUAAGAUGUGUACCUCAUUACCCCUGAGUUUUAUCUUGGAUCAAGCCGUACUAAACUAUAAAUAUAAUAGGCGAAGAAUAUAUUAAUCAUUAGGAACACACCUUGAAUGAAUUUAUUACUAUUUUCUUGCAUUACAUAUAUAUUUUUACUUUUUUUUAUUCAUUGUGUCUUUUUUAACUAAAACCCACACUUUAUUUGUGCCUUGCACAAUAAGCUCCGAUAGACAUAGAGCGCUUUUUAGAGCUUUUCGCCUUUGACAAUACUGUACCUAAGGGUAUGACCUAGUGGUCAAUGAAGCGGGUAAGAACCAUGAGGUCUUAGGUUCAAAUCCCGCAGAGGCAAAAAAUAUUAUGUGAUUUCUUCCCAUCCAUCCAAGCGUUACUGGAUAGAGUUACGUGGUAGUUGUUGUGCUGAGGGAGGUGGAAAUAUCACGUGGAAUUAGUUGAGGUACGUGCAUGAUGGCCCAUAUAUCACGGUUAUUAAAAGAAAAUAAAAAUACCAGCCUUUUGAAACUAGGUGUAACUCUAGUGCCAAAAAUUGGGUAUCUAUCUCAACUCUUAAACCCCCCUUUCUAUACCCAUAGCCUUAUCUGCUAAGGAAUAAAAAAUGUCUUUACAAGUCUAUGAGAAGUGUGUAUGACUAUAUCUACUUCCAUAGAUGACCAAAUACAUAGCCAACCCCUUAAACUUGUCACUAUUUUCAAUUAAACACCUCAACUGCAGCAGUGACCUAUUACACACUCGAACUAUAUUUAAAUUGUGCCUAUUGAGCACUAUUGGAAUAUAGUUCGAGUGUCUAAUAGGUCACUGCUGUAAUUGAGGCGUCUAAAUGGAAAAUAGUGGCAAGUUUAAGGGGUUGGCUAUGUAUUUGGCCUUCAUAGAUCUAUUUUACAUGUAAUUAAGAUUUAUAUAACGGGUAAACUUUGGUUCUUGAUCAUUCUGAUUAUUAUUUCUAAGGAAAUAGCAGAAAUCACAAAAUUUGGUAGUAAUAGAAACUGAUAGUGCUAGGAUUACAUUUCGUGGCUCUAAUCCAAUAUUCUCUUACCUGGAGUCUUCUUCCGUGGAAAAUAUCAUGUUGGCUAAGAUAAGUACUUUACUUAUCUUUCACUUCAGGCUGCGUUUGCUUGGAUAUCGGAAAUGCUCAGUAAUUUUAUUGUGUUAAAUGAGCAGGAAAAGUCUAGCAAGAAAGUCAAAUUAAGCAGACUUGACAUGGUCAUGGUGAAACAUUUUUAAUCAGUGUUCCCAUUUUUUUGCUCCUUCCAUAGGAUACCUAAUUCGUCUACUUAGGUCUUGGAUCUUCGAGCAAUUAGAAAAUAAUAGAAUUCAAGCUGAAUACACAUAUAGUUUGUGAACUCAAUAGUACAAGUGUGUCAAUCCUGGCUAAAGCCAUUCACAUUCUCUAACUUUUGGUGUGACAAAGGCUUAAGUGUCGGAGAAAAGCCAAGCCAUUCAGAGUUGGUCUCCUAUGAUAAAGGCAACAAGAAGGUGCAGCUUCCAUUCUAUUGAUGUGGAAUCACAUCAAACACAAUUAGUGAAUUUUCUGCCGUGUGGACAAUUUUUAUUUCCUUCCCAAAGUGUCAGUUUAUUUUCUGUUGUCUUACAUAUGAGCUCUCACUCUUAAAGAAUUAUUGAUGUCUAAGUUGCUAUCUAUCAUAAAUAUAUAACUUUCGAAAAAGAACAUUUUACUUAUAAAAAAUACUGUAGUAGUUCUUUCGAAUACUCUAGUUAUGCUCUGAACACACAGAUUUUAGAAAUUGUCCCUCUCAAACUUAUAGCUCCCACCCGCAGAUGGGGUAACUCUGGGAAACUGUUGAUCCUUCUAGGCGAAAAGGAGAGGAAGGGGAGGUUGCUUGUUGAUGAGCCUUUUUGUCCUCUUUCUUACUGUUCUCCCUGUCUUGCCUUUUCCUUUCCUUGUUAUCUAUCAUCUUGGCUUUGUUCCUUGACAAAAAGGUCAGACCUCUAAUUUGGUAUUCUUGUUAGGACUUUAGGUAAAGUGAAUAUAUAAUCAUUGCUCUAACAUAGGUCUGUUUUAAGCAAUUUCAAAAGAGUACAAUGCAAAAAAAAGAUAACUACUUGAAACAUUUGGUAUGAGGAAAGAAGAUUUUCCUUACCAAUGUAUAAGCUUUUUAUCAAGUUUGAAGCCUCAGUGCAGAGCUGGCAAUGAAAAAAAAAGAACUACUUGAAACAUUUGGUAUGAGGAAAGAAGAUUUUCCUAACCAAUGUAUCAGCUUUUUAUCAAGUUUGAAGCCUCAGUUCAGAGCUGAUAUGGAGUCUAUUUUAUCUAGUAGAUGGUGGCCUUUUCCAUUUCAAAGACUAAUUGAUAUUUUCCAUUUCAAAGACUAAUUGAUAUUUUCUAGAAUAGUGUUUAGUGGUCCUUUUUCCUUUUGUCUACCUUUGUAUUUAUUUUGUUAUCAGUCUAUAUUUUCUAGAAUAGUGUUUAGUGGUCCUUUUUCCUUUUGUCUACCUUUGUAUUUAUUUUGUUAUCAGUCUGCUCUUGUUUCCUUUCAUUUUUUACUCUCCACUCGCUCAGAGAUCAGCGUUCAGGCUUGUGUUUUUGUGACACCAAUUGAUUUUGAUUUUGAUUAAUCCUUGGCAAUCUGCCCCCAGCCCCUCUCUCUUGUGUGUGUGUGUGUAUCUCUUUUAACUUUUUUUCUGCUGGAAUAUUUGAUUUUCAUGCAAUAACAAGCUUUUUGUUUUGCAGCAAAGGCCUCAUCUUCCAGUACGCCCGAUACCUUCUCAGCUCUGGUGCAAGAAUUUUGGAACAAAAGACUACUAGUCUUGUUGAUAAAGCAACUAUAGUAGUUUGCUGUUUGGUAGAUGAUCACAUCACCUCCUGUAUUUGGAUUCUGAAUGGUGCAUUUCGUGGUUUUUUGCUGUUCGGUAGAUGAUCACAUCGCCUCCUGUAUUUGGAUUCUGAAUUGUGCAUUUCAUGGUUAUUUUUCAUUCGAACCAGUGUGACAUUAUAAUGACAGUGUUCCAUAAAAUAAAAAUGACACUUCCUGCGUGCUUUAUUACAAUGAUGAAAGCCAGCUAGGCAGAUUCUCCUUGUUUUUUUUUUUUUUUUCAAUUUUAUCUUCUGUAUAUGAAGAAAAGCUAAAGCAGUUGCUCUCGACUCCUG
rnacentral:lncRNA from 1 species